rnacentral:tRNA from 1 species
GGAUGGAUACUCAAGUCUGGUUAAGAGAACGAUCUUGAAAAUCGUCAGGCGGUAAAACGUUCGAGGGUUCGAAUCCCUCUCCAUCCU